GAUCAUACUAAAUUUUUAAAUUUUUGUCCGUCAGUGGAAACUGCUGUCUGUAGUAAUAGUAGUAGUAGUAAAUUCAAAAUUAUUCUCUAUAAAAAAACGGCAAUAAAUUAAUUAAUGAUUCAAAUAUUACGAAUAUUCACUAUCAUGAAACUAAAGGCUUCUUCAUUAAAAGAAAAGUUGAAUGAUAAAGUUGAUGGUGCGUCCCUGACACCCAGCCCUGCUAAAUAUCAGCGGUUCUCCACCCGCAAAACUUGGACAGAGACUUGAUCGAUCACGAGCAGUAACCAGACAAACAGGUGACAAGCGGACAAAGACCGUUG